rnacentral:rRNA from 1 species
UACGGAGGGUGCAAGCGUUAUCCGGAUUCACUGGGCGUAAAGGGUGCGUAGGUGGUGAGGUAAGUCGGAUGUGAAAUCUCCGGGCUCAACCCGGAAAUGGCAUUGGAAACUACCUUGCUAGAGGAUUUGAGGGGGGAUUGGAAUACUUGGUGUAGCAGUGAAAUGCGUAGAUAUCAAGUGGAACACCAGUGGCGAAGGCGAAUCCCUGGAAAAUACCUGACACUGAGGCACGAAAGCUAGGGGAGCAAACAGG